AGUGAACGCUGGCGGUAGGUCUAGCACAUGCAAGUCGAACGGCAGCACAGUAAGAGCUUGCUCUUACGGGUGGCGAGUGGCGGACGGGUGAGGAAUACAUCGGAAUCUACUUUUUCGUGGGGGAUAACGUAGGGAAACUUACGCUAAUACCGCAUACGACCUACGGGUGAAAGCAGGGGAUCUUCGGACCUUGCGCGAUUGAAUGAGCCGAUGUCGGAUUAGCUAGUUGGCGGGGUAAAGGCCCACCAAGGCGACGAUCCGUAGCUGGUCGGAGAGGAUGAUCAGCCACACUGGAACUGAGACACGGUCCAGACUCCUACGGGAGGCAGCAGUGGGGAAUAUUGGACAAUGGGCGCAAGCCUGAUCCAGCCAGACCGCGUGGGUGAAGAAGGCCUUCGGGUUGGAAAGCCCUUUUGUUGGGAAAGAAAAGCAGCAGGUUAAUACCCCGCUGUUCUGACGGUACCCAAAGAAUAAGCACCGGCUAACUUCGUG
rnacentral:rRNA from 1 species